GAUGAACGCUGGCGGCGUGCCUAAUACAUGCAAGUCGAGCGAACGGACGAGAAGCUUGCUUCUCUGAUGUUAGCGGCGGACGGGUGAGUAACACGUGGAUAACCUACCUAUAAGACUGGGAUAACUUCGGGAAACCGUAGCUAAUACCGGAUAAUAUUUUGAACCGCAUGGUUCAAAAGUGAAAGACGGUCUUGCUGUCACUUAUAGAUGGAUCCGCGCUGCAUUAGCUAGUUGGUAAGGUAACGGCUUACCAAGGCAACGAUGCAUAGCCGACCUGAGAGGGUGAUCGGCCACACUGGAACUGAGACACGGACCAGACUCCUACGGGAGGCAGCAGUAGGGAAUCUUACGCAAUGGGCGAAAGCCUGACGGAGCAACGCCGCGUGAGUGAUGAAGGUCUUCGGAUCGUAAAACUCUGUUAUUAGGGAAGAACAUAUGUGUAAGUAACUGUGCACAUCUUGACGGUACCUAAUCAGAAAGCCACGGCUAACUACGUG
rnacentral:rRNA from 1 species